UAUCUCAGUCUGUAAAGAAUCUACCUGCAAUGUAGGAGACCCAGGUUCGAUUCCUGG
rnacentral:tRNA from 1 species